GAAGAUGAUGAGUAGAUCAGAGGAUGCUCCCAAAGAAGAAAGGAAAAGGAUUGUGCAAUAAUGUAGGAUCAAGCCUAGCAGUUGCAGUGUGGAUUUUUACCACUUGUGGGAGUGACUCCUUGGGGCACCUUUUACCAAGUACUGGAUUGGCACAGUACAUGAAUUGAGACAAUAAUGGUUAAAUACAUGAAAUCUAAGAAACAUGUAGUUUGGUGGCUAGUUUUAUUGGAAACUUGGAUUAGCUUUAAAUAUUUUUAAUAUUUGUAAUUCUCUUUAUGUUUAUUUUAUUUUUCCUAUGCAUGCUUUUAAUAUUUGCAACUCUUAUAUUUUCUUAAUUGUCUAUUUAAAAAGACUUUUGUAUUCGGAAGUUCAAGUUUGAAUAUUAUUGAAAGUCUUUGAGUUUGAGUUA